rnacentral:tRNA from 1 species
GUCGGGAUAGCUCAGUUGGUAGAGCAGAGGACUGAAAUUCUCGUGU